CUUUGUUCCUUUACAGAAAAUCAUUUUAUUUGUAAUACCUGGUCUUCAAAGAAAACUUCCAAUGAAAAAGAAGAGGUCAAAGAACAAGGAAAUCAUAUGCUUGACCUUAAGGAACUAAUAUCAUGUGAGGGAAACUCAAAGGACUGUGAGCAGUACAGUUGUGACACUAUUUUGCAUUUUAUUGAAGAGCUCAUGAGGCAG